rnacentral:lncRNA from 10 species
UAACAGGUAGAACAGGUCUGGAACAUGCAGGCUUUAAAAAUAUUUUGCCAUUCUCAUUGUUCAAUUCUCACCUACGAGUGAGAAUAUGCGGUGUUUGGUUUUUUGUCCUUGUGAUAGUUUGCUCAGAAUGAUGGUUCUUAUCAGCUUAAGGAGAUUUUGGGCUGAGACGAUGGGGUUUUCUAGAUAAACAAUCAUGUCAUCUGCAGACAGGGACAAUUUGACUUCCUCUUUUCCUAAUUGAAUACCCUUUAUUUCUUUCUCCUGCCUGAUUGCCCUGGCCAGAACUUCCAACACUAUGUUGAAUAGGAGUGGUGAGAGAGGGCAUCCCUGUCUUGUGCCAGUUUUCAAAGGGAAUGCUUCCAGUUUUUGCCCA